UCCGAAUUGGUGUAGUGGCCAACAUUUGACGCUCUCACUUGCCUUCGUCAUAUAUCUCUUAGAGAGUGUGAAGGAGUAGUAUCGGGGUGCCGUCAAGCCCGGGGUUCGAUUCCCCGAUUCGGAG